rnacentral:rRNA from 1 species
GACAGAGGGGGCAAGCGUUGCUCGGAAUCACUGGGCGUAAAGGGCGCGUAGGCGGGAUGGCAAGUCGGGUCGUGAAAUCCUUCGGCUCAACCGAAGAACGUCGGCCGAUACUGCCGUUCUUGAGGGAUGCAGAGGAGAUUGGAAUUCCCGGUGUAGCGGUGAAAUGUGUAGAGAUCGGGAGGAACACCGGUGGCGAAGGCGGGUCUCUGGGCAUCUCCUGACGCUGAGGCGCGAAAGCGUGGGGAGCAAACGGGG